rnacentral:rRNA from 1 species
GAUGAACGCUGACAGAAUGCUUAACACAUGCAAGUCUUUGGCGAAGCUGUGCUUGCACAGCCUAGCCAAGGCGGACGGGUGAGUAACGCGUAAGGAACUUGCCCUGCAGUCAGGGAUAACAGACGGAAACGACUGAUAAGACCUGGUAAAGCCAGGCGGACUCAUGUCCAGCCUGAUGAAAAGAGAUGCUGCAGGAGAGCCUUGCGUCCUAUUAGCUUGUUGGUGGGGUAACGGCCCACCAAGGCGAUGAUAGGUAGCCGGCCUGAGAGGGUGGACGGCCACAAGGGGACUGAGAUACGGCCCUUACUCCUACGGGAGGCAGCAGUGGGGAAUAUUGGACAAUGGGGGCAACCCUGAUCCAGCAAUUCUGUGUGCACGAUGAAGGUUUUCGGAUUGUAAAGUGCUUUCAGCAGGGAAGAAAAAAUGACGGUACCUGCAGAAGAAGCGACGGCUAAAUACGUG